AUUGAACGCUGGCGGCAGGCCUAACACAUGCAAGUCGAACGAGUGGCGGAAGGGUGAGUAAUGCUUGGGUAACUGCCUGAUGGAGGGGGAUAACUACUGGAAACGGGAGCUAAUACCGCAUACAUCUGGCGCUGCCAAGAUGGGCUUAGCUAGUAGGUGGAGUAAGGGCUCACCGAGGAUACGAUCCCUAGGUGGUCUGAGCGGAUGACCCGCAACACUGAAACGUAGACACUGUCCAGAUUCCUAUGGGAGCCAGCAGUGGGUAAUUUUGCACAAGGGGAGCAAGCCUGAUGCAGCCAUGCCGAGGGAAUGUAGAAGGCCUUCGGGUUGUAAAAUCCUUUCAGCGGGGAGGCGUUACCCGCAGAAGAAGCACCGGCUAACUCCGUGCCAGCAGCCGCGGUAAUAC
rnacentral:rRNA from 1 species